rnacentral:lncRNA from 1 species
CCUUUAAUGUCCUUUAUAACAAACUGGUAAUCUAGUAAGUAAACUGUUUUCCUGAGUUCUGUCAGCUGCUCUAGCAAAUUAAUUGAACCUGAGGAGGGGGUCCUGGGUUCCUUUAAUUUACAGCCAGUUGGGCAGAAGCACAGGUGACAACCUGGACUUGGGAUUGGCAUCUGAAGCGGAGGCAGUCUCAUGGGACUGAGCCCUUACCCUGUGGAAUCUGACGCUAUCUCCCGUAGACAGCAUCAGAACUGAGCUGAAUUACAGGAUACCCUGCUGGUGACUUGAGAAUUGCUUGGUGGUGUGGGGAAAAAAACCACACACUGGAACUGGUGAUCAGAACUGCACCCGCCUUCGUCAUCUUCCACUUUUCCCUUUGCCAUCACUCCAUGACAUCCUGGGCAGACUGCAUCACUUCCUAUUCACUUUCGGAUACUAAAAGAAGACCAUCUAAGACUUCAAUUUCAAACUCUACGUUGGAAUCCCUUUCUUCCUAAUUCUUUGAGAGCAGAUAGACUCUCACUUCCCUGGAUGGAUGAAAUGAGUUCUGACCUGCAAUCACUGAAAUGUGUCACAUGAAAUUUCAAGGUCCCUUAUAAAGAUCCCAUGAUAAUAUGACAUCAAGGAAAGAAGCUUUAGAUGGUCACAUGCCUGAAGUGAAAGAAUAGAACCAGAUUUGGGACCAACAAGAAGAAAAAUCCUUAACGAUGUCCUACUUAUUGCAUAACCACAGCUAGUUUGGUCACACUCAAGUCAAUCAACUCUCUACUCUCUGUGGAAAAAUGCUGGGGAAGCAGGUC